UGGUGGAGUGAUUUGUCUGGUUAAUUCCGUUAACGAACGAGACCCCCGCCUGCUAAAUAGAGGCAUCAAUGCUUAGCAUUGUUGUCUAUAUACUUCUUAGAGGGACUUUUGGUGACUAACCAAAGGAAGUUGGGGGCAAUAACA
rnacentral:rRNA from 1 species